rnacentral:lncRNA from 1 species
CAAAUCAGAAACUGCAGUGGAGACAGCAGAAGAGGUCAAGCAGAGGAACCCGACUUUGAAGCGCUACAGCCCCACUGAGCAUCUUGUGAGCAAGUCUGGCAAGCCAAAGCUGAGAAAAACAAACCAAAACUGUCUUGGUAGAAAAUACAGUAAGAUGAAUGAAUUAGUCAAAAAGUUCACUGAGAGGACAGUAAGAAAGGAGGCGUUGAAAUGUGAGCUAAGCAUGAAAAUCUUUGGAAAUGAACUUAGCUUCCUAAAUUGUGAAGAUUUAAGAAAACAAAUGAAACAUUAUUCCUUAAAUCUGGCUGAGUUGGCUGUCAAACUUCUGAAGGGGCAGGAGGUCCAGUUUAAUAAAAGGAUGAGCUUGGCCACUGAAGAGCUGCAGUUUCCAGCAAUUUCAGGCUUUCCUGUUCAACUGGCAGUCAAUGCCUCAGCAGCAAUCAACGUAAAAAUAAAAGGGAAUGCUGAUUUCAAACAACAGUCCAAUUUCUUUCUAAAUGGAUAUAUCAAGCCAAGUGCAUUUGUUCAGCUUUCUGUCCAAAUGGGAAUUGUGGGGACUCUGGGACAAGCUGGCCUAAAGUGGUUAACAGGAAUGAGGACAUCUACUAGUCUUGAUGGGGGGAUCCAGGUGAAGAAGGGGAAAGAGCUCAAAGUUUUCUUGAACACUCCAGAAGAAUCUAUGGAGAUAAUUAAUUUCAGCUCUAAACUCUACUACAGAAUGGUGGAUGAGACAGAGGAUAUAGAUGUCUUCCAAGACCACACAGAGACCAGGUCCUGCACUAGGGAGGAAGGUGAGUCCAGCUAUUAUGUUUGUCUUAGAAAGGCAUUCUGA